rnacentral:misc_RNA from 1 species
GAAAAUCAUUGAUAGAUAAUCAAGUAUUAGAACUUGAAAUCACCUAGAUUUAUAAAUAAAUUAGGGUUUUAAGAGUAUUCAAUGAUUUGUUACAAAACUUAAUGGGUUUUAAGUUAAUCAAAUAUCGUGUGAAAGUAGGUUUGGUUUUCUUAAAAUAUUCUUUGGUUUACUUGAAAAAGAUAUUAAAAGAUUUUAGAAUCAAUCAUCUUCAAACUCUAUUUUCUUUUAAA